GCACAAAGACAUUGAAAGUAGAAUAUUUCAAAAUUUCCACAUUAUAUUGGAGAAGUCAGACGGAUGAGACACUAUUCUGGAAGGCAAAGAACUCCCAGAUUCACUCUGGACACAUGCAUGGCUGCAACAAUAAGGACGAGAACUGGUGAGCAAAGGGCUACAGGAAAUUACAACCAUAAGCAUGUUUUCAUAACUGAAAUGGACUGCAGAAAUCCAUAAAACACAGUACCACUUUCAAGGAUCGUGUAAUAAAAACAUUCACAGGCUAGAUAUUGCUCUACAACUAGUCAUUUGAUUUUAUGUGCUUUAUUCAAAAUGAGUUUAUGUUGAUUUUAUGUGCUUUCUUCAUAAUGAGCUUAAGAUAUCUUGUACCUAUGAGAAUUUAUCAGGUCACAACAUCAGGGCUCUCAAAUCAUGCCAUCUUUAGUCAUUUAGAGGCACCUUAUCAAGAGUUUAUUCAGAAGUAGCUUAGCAUCAGGAACAGCUUAUGAUAUUUUGAGAUGAUUCAGGAAAAAGUUGAGGAAGCCUAAAUUAACAACAUCAUUUAGGCAGAGUACAAAGUUUCAAUAAUUUUCAAAAUAAUAAAACAAAUUAGAAAGCAUAAACUAUUUUGUCAACUAAACCAGAUUAUUUUUCUCCCAUACCUCUCAGAAGACCAAAAAAAGAGAUUAUAAAGAUGCCAUAGCCCUUUUGAUUAGAAAAGAUGAAUGAAUUCAUGCAUUAAUCUUUCAAGAGUUUGAAUACUGAGAACCAUUGAAACAAAUCUCUACAUAGUAAAAUUAUGUUCUUAACAUUACUUGUAAGGAAAAGAACUAAAAAGUUAAAUUGAGAAGCAUCAUUUAAGUAACUGCUCAAGAAAGCAAUGUAUGUCAUUAGUGAUUUUGCAAGAAAACAUCAUCUAAAGUCAUCAGUUUGAACAACCUGAAUUGGAACCUUCACAUGCUCAAUGAAGUUGUUGAGGCGUCCAACUUUUGAGUCCACAGCUAUCUGUCUUUUGUUCUUCCAGCGAUCAAUGUUAGAUUCAUUUGUGAAGAUAACCUCAUCAUGACAAAUUUUAACAAUUAAAAAAUCAAUAAACUAACCACAAAGUUUAUUAACAAGAUGCCAGAAUCAUAAAACUUGCAAAUAUACAACAGAAAAUCUUUGGAAGAUAAACUAACCAGCUUGUAGCCAUCAUUAUAUAAGCUUUGCAGUUUGUCUGGUAUUGAGGGAUACAUAAGGGACCACGCAUCUGCACCAACUCUCUUAACAGAGGUUUUUGCAAGACAUCCAUCAAAAUCAAAUGCAGCAAUUUUAUUUGAAUCAUGGAGACCAUCAUCCCGUUCAAGAAAUAUGAGUGUCUGGAAUGCCUUCCACUUAGGUAAUAACACAGCAUCCUUAUACUUUUCCAUGAUAUCAGAUGGUGAAAAAGCUAUCUCCAGCUCACCUUCCUCAUUAGCCAUUGCCAACUUAUUUUUCUUAAAAUUCCUUUCCUCCAGUUCAACCUCUUGCACAUUUUCAUUCGUCCUCUUUGAAAAACUUUUUGGGCUUCCUUCAAUUGCAUUUGAAACCUGAGAGGUUAGAAUAUAGUGCUUAGAAAAUGCUCACAAAACCCCAGGAAUAUUAUACAAACAUGAUAUGUCGUCUAUUUGCACUCCCACUGAAAAAACAGAAAUUAUAAAAAGAAAAUGCAUCUAACUCGUAUAUAAUGUCUGAACAAUCCCUCUCAAGCUGGAGUAGAAAAUGGUUGAUCAGCUUCAUGCAAUCAGAGAUGCAUCACAAAAAGAUUGAUUGAAUGAAUGUCCUAGAAAUUUGUUCAACAGCAAAAAAAAGGUUUUUCUAAAGCACAUUGGAGAAUAAUAUCACUAAAUUUAAUUCGUACGUCAGUCACAGAACUCUUAAGUUCACUCACCAAUUUCUUCAGGGCCUCCUGAUCACGUGUCUGGAGUGAAGCAAAACCUCCAAUUGCCUCCGUGGACUCAAUCGUCUCUGAGAAGCAAUCCAAAUGGUGCCAUUUUGUCAUAUCAAACCCUCGCGAGUCUCUUGUGACGAAACCCAACCUCAAGGCUUUAGCAGAAAUCACUUGGGAGCACUUCUUGCACGAUGAACGAUUCGAUUUCGCAUAUUCAGCCACGAUUCUGGCUUUGGAAGAAGGGGGCAUUGCUGAACCUCGGAAGGAGAAACAGAAAAAGUGCUUCUGUUGUUUGCUUGGGGUUUUGAUGGAGAGAGAGAUUAGGAAGGGAAGGACAGGAGGAAUUCGGGUGGGUUUGAGCAUAAAAAAAACAGGGAUUGAAGGGCUUUUCGGUGAUUGGCAGUUUAGGGCUUAACGUCUUCCCGCCAAUUUGGU
rnacentral:misc_RNA from 1 species